AGGUCUUCGUGAUGGUCAAGUUGUCCUGCAGGAUGGGGAGACGGUGUGGGUGCAGCUCAGGAAGAGGGAGACUGCGAGCUGCCCACCUUUCCCAGCAGGUGACAUAAUUUUGUUCUUUGUGGCUGAGUAAGAAAGACUCCAUUGUCUGAACACACCGUAUUGUCUUGACCCAGUCAUCUGUUGAUGGCAACUUGGCUGGUUCUGGCUCCACUGGGACUCCUACAGUGGUGAACCUGGAUAUGUAGAUGUCUCUGUGGAAUUCACACGGUAGCCCAGGCUAGUCUUAAACUUACCACCAUUCUCUCCACUUUUGGAGACCUGGGAUGGCAGCUAUGCACUCUCAUGACUGGAUCUGUGGCUGAAGCUCUGCGAGCCCUGAUGUAACCCUAUCACCAUGAGUACUUCUCCACUGACCGUGGCUGUGCUCCUGAUGUGCAGGGCUUGGAGGAGGGGAGAGCUGUCCUGAGUCCCUGUCACACCCUGGGGACAGUUCUGAAUCAACUGCAGUGCCCAUCACUGUAAAUAGUAGAGACGUGCAUAAAUGCCUUUAUUGAUCUG
rnacentral:lncRNA from 1 species